UUACAAACAUUGCAGGGUGCGCGCGCAACCAAGGGGCAGAAAGACCGAUUGGUGAGCUGAUCUGCUACUGCAACAACCUUAAUUAUUGAAGCGUUCUUUAAUGUUUGUACAUAAAUAAGACUUGAUUUUAGUUGUAUCUGUUUUUCUGUCUUUAUUUUUGCAGUGUUACUGUGAUACAUGUAUGAAUUAUAAUUUUAUAAUUAUAAUGCUAGUAACGUAAUAGUCGCAUCUACUGGUAUGUUAACAUCAGGCACCCAGCACUGACUCUGUUGGUACUAUUUUCCACGCAAAAAUUCCUUGGCAUUUUGACUUACAGACACCGCUACUAGCAUACAACACAAUGCACGUCUCUUCUUUCUGCCCCUCGGUUGCGCGCGCAACCAGUUAGUGACGUCGCCGUGCAACCCGUCUAUUCACCUUAUUUUUCACGUCAACAAGGGCGGCGCCAUUUCGCUCAUUUUGUCAACGUUCUUCCGGCCGCAUAGACGAUGAGCAGCUGAGGCAGUGACUGAAGGCGACGCUUACGCUUAAAAAGCUCACUCGAGCGCCUUUAUGUUUCUUUCUUACCAAUUUUAAGCCAACUGAGGAACACCCUUAUCCCAAGUAAUGGUUCGACUACGAUGUUCCGGUAACUUUAAACCACGCCGGGUGUUGAAAAGGUGGCCAGUUUCAGAUGCAUUGAUGUGUAGUGAUGCAGUGGACAACUGUGAGGAUGAUACAAUCAACAUGUUCCUAAACUGUGAUGCAGAAACACAAUGGGAGGAUCAAUCCGUCUCUGAACACAACUACACUUUAAAAUCACAACUCAACCUGAAGCAACAUACAUCUGAACUGGGGAAAACAAUGGUGCAGUUUCCCUGACAGGGCUUAUCCUGGUCCCAGGCUAAAAUGCAUAUUUGAGCUACAAUAAUUUAAAAACACCUUUUACUGACAUACCUCAACAUAUAUGAGUGCCAUUGUUUUGUCACAAGAUGCGCCCCACUCUUGUUUUUUUGUAGGGUUUGUUUGUAAAAACUAAAAUGUCCUAAUAUAAUUAAAUCCUAGUCCUGUAAACCCUGUCCGAGAAACUGCUUCAAUGUGUUGAGCUGGCAGAAAUGUACAUAUCUCUGCUGAGAAACAACCAUCUUUGGUUCAGCUUUACAGAGGGUUGAUAUUGCAUCCAUUACACAGUCGCCAAGCACUUUACCAGUACCUACACCAACAGCUUCCAGAUAAACACUUGGGUUCAGCUCCUGAUGACUCCGAUAAAGCUGUGUCUUAAUUUAUUGCAGGGUGGUCUUGCUUAACCUGUUGUAAAGUUACAUUAAACCUUCAUAUGUGAUCAGAUGUCAUGCAGUGAUAUUAAACAUUUACAGUGUGA